rnacentral:rRNA from 1 species
UUUCAUGGAGAGUUUGAUCCUGGCUCAGGACGAACGCUGGCGGCGUGCCUAAUACAUGCAAGUCGAGCGAACCGACGGGAGCUUGCUCCCUUAGGUUAGCGGCGGACGGGUGAGUAACACGUGGGUAACCUGCCUGUAAGACUGGGAUAACUCCGGGAAACCGGGGCUAAUACCGGAUGCUUGAUUGAACCGCAUGGUUCAAUUAUAAAAGGUGGCUUUUAGCUACCACUUACAGAUGGACCCGCGGCGCAUUAGCUAGUUGGUGAGGUAACGGCUCACCAAGGCAACGAUGCGUAGCCGACCUGAGAGGGUGAUCGGCCACACUGGGACUGAGACACGGCCCAGACUCCUACGGGAGGCAGCAGUAGGGAAUCUUCCGCAAUGGACGAAAGUCUGACGGAGCAACGCCGCGUGAGUGAUGUAAGGUUUUCGGAUCGUAAAACUCUGUUGUUAGGGAAGAACAAGUACCGUUCGAAUAGGGCGGUACCUUGACGGUACCUAACCAGAAAGCCACGGCUAACUACGUGCCAGCA